GACGAACGCUGGCGGCGUGCCUAAUACAUGCAAGUUGAGCGCUGAAGGUUGGUACUUGUACCAACUGGAUGAGCAGCGAACGGGUGAGUAACGCGUGGGGAAUCUGCCUUUGAGCGGGGGACAACAUUUGGAAACGAAUGCUAAUACCGCAUAAAAACUUUAAACACAAGUUUUAAGUUUGAAAGAUGCAAUUGCAUCACUCAAAGAUGAUCCCGCGUUGUAUUAGCUAGUUGGUGAGGUAAAGGCUCACCAAGGCGAUGAUACAUAGCCGACCUGAGAGGGUGAUCGGCCACAGUGGGACUGAGACACGGCCCAAACUCCUACGGGAGGCAGCAGUAGGGAAUCUUCGGCAAUGGACGAAAGUCUGACCGAGCAACGCCGCGUGAGUUAAGAAGGGUUUCGGAUCGUAAAACUCUGUUGGUAGAGAAGAACGUUGGUGAGAGUGGAAAGCUCAUCAAGUGACGGUAACUACCCAGAAAGGGACGGCUAACUACGUG
rnacentral:rRNA from 1 species